rnacentral:rRNA from 1 species
UACGUAGGGGGCAAGCGUUGUCCGGAUUUACUGGGCGUAAAGGGUGCGUAGGCGGGUUUUUAAGUCAGGGGUGAAAUCCUGGAGCUCAACUCCAGAACUGCCUUUGAUACUGAAGAUCUUGAGUCCGGGAGAGGUGAGUGGAACUGCGAGUGUAGAGGUGAAAUUCGUAGAUAUUCGCAAGAACACCAGUGGCGAAGGCGGCUCACUGGCCCGGUACUGACGCUGAGGCACGAAAGCGUGGGGAGCAAACAGG